CGACUCGACUCCGUAGCCUGGAGGAACGUGAACGGGUUGGGUCGCGGUGUACCCCGGUUCGAGACUUGUACUCGAGCCGGCCGGAGCCGCGGCUAACGUGGUAUUGGCACUCCCGUCUCGACCCAGCCUACAAAAAUCCAGGAUACGGAAUCGAGUCGUUUUGCUGGUUGCCGAAUGGCAGGGAAGUGAGUCCU
rnacentral:ncRNA from 1 species